GGAGAAAUGGUAGACAGGGAUACAUUUAGCUUGAAACUAAAAUGAUAAAGGUUCAAAUCCUUUUUUCUCUU
rnacentral:tRNA from 1 species